UAUGCCAGAGGUAUAUAAGCUGCGGAGCUAUUUUUGCUUCACAGUUCUAACUCUGCGUCCAUGAGUGGCAGUUCCUUUACCCAGUGUAAUUAUUGUGAAAUUAAAAAUGUAGUUUCUUUACAAUAUUAAAUGUUAUGUUGAUAAUAAAAUUAUUAUUAAAUAUUAGAAUAAUUUAGCUGAAACGCAGAGAUGAAACUUAAUCAUAAGUACUUUGUGGUUGAAUUUUUGGAGAAGCCUUACAGUACUGUUGAUCCAGUGGUUUGCGUCCCGUUUAAAUGGAUAAAAUUAGCCAAGAAGACAAAUGAUAUAGUUUCCGUAGCAUAUCCAGCUGAGCAUUCCGUCUCUACUAAAACAAUGGUUCGAAAUAUUUGUCCACAGCAAGAAAACUGACGUUAUUAUAAAGUUCAAACAAAAUGUGGAAAACGUGAGUACACUUUUAUUACUUAACGUGAUUGUUAAUGUAGUUUCUAAUGUAAUUGAGUUGACUAAUAAAUUAGACUAUUAAACAUUAUUUAGAACACUA